AAGUUGACCUCAAAUCAGUAGAUGG
rnacentral:rRNA from 1 species